GGGUUGUGAGGUUAAGCGACUAAGCGUACACGGUGGAUGCCCUGGCAGUCAGAGGCGAUGAAGGGCGUGCUAAUCUGCGAUAAGCGCCGGUAAGGUGAUAUGAACCGUUAUAACCGGCGAUACCCGAAUGGGGAAACCCAGUGUGAUUCGUCACACUAUCAUUAACUGAAUCCAUAGGUUAAUGAGGCGAACCGGGGGAACUGAAACAUCUAAGUACCCCGAGGAAAAGAAAUCAACCGAGAUUCCCCCAGUAGCGGCGAGCGAACGGGGAGGAGCCCAGAGCCUGAAUCAGCAUGUGUGUUAGUGGAAGCGUCUGGAAAGGCGCGCGAUACAGGGUGACAGCCCCGUACACAAAAGCGCAUGUGCUGUGAGCUCGAUGAGUAGGGCGGGACACGUGGUAUCCUGUCUGAAUAUGGGGGGACCAUCCUCCAAGGCUAAAUACUCCUGACUGACCGAUAGUGAACCAGUACCGUGAGGGAAAGGCGAAAAGAACCCCGGCGAGGGGAGUGAAAAAGAACCUGAAACCGUGUACGUACAAGCAGUGGGAGCACAGGUUUACCUGUGUGACUGCGUACCUUUUGUAUAAUGGGUCAGCGACUUAUAUUCUGUAGCAAGGUUAACCGUAUAGGGGAGCCGAAGGGAAACCGAGUCUUAACCGGGCGUUAAGUUGCAGGGUAUAGACCCGAAACCCGGUGAUCUAGCCAUGGGCAGGUUGAAGGUUGGGUAACACUAACUGGAGGACCGAACCGACUAAUGUUGAAAAAUUAGCGGAUGACCUGUGGCUGGGGGUGAAAGGCCAAUCAAACCGGGAGAUAGCUGGUUCUCCCCGAAAGCUAUUUAGGUAGCGCCUCGUGAAUUCAUCUCCGGGGGUAGAGCACUGUUUCGGCUAGGGGGCCAUCCCGGCUUACCAACCCGAUGCAAACUGCGAAUACCGGAGAAUGUUAUCACGGGAGACACACGGCGGGUGCUAACGUCCGUCGUGAAGAGGGAAACAACCCAGACCGCCAGCUAAGGUCCCAAAGUCAUAGUUAAGUGGGAAACGAUGUGGGAAGGCCCAGACAGCCAGGAUGUUGGCUUAGAAGCAGCCAUCAUUUAAAGAAAGCGUAAUAGCUCACUGGUCGAGUCGGCCUGCGCGGAAGAUGUAACGGGGCUAAACUAUGCACCGAAGCUGCGGCAGCGACACUAUGUGUUGUUGGGUAGGGGAGCGUUCUGUAAGCCUGUGAAGGUGUGUCGUGAGGCAUGCUGGAGGUAUCAGAAGUGCGAAUGCUGACAUAAGUAACGAUAAAGCGGGUGAAAAGCCCGCUCGCCGGAAGACCAAGGGUUCCUGUCCAACGUUAAUCGGGGCAGGGUGAGUCGACCCCUAAGGCGAGGCCGAAAGGCGUAGUCGAUGGGAAACGGGUUAAUAUUCCCGUACUUGGUGUUACUGCGAAGGGGGGACGGAGAAGGCUAUGUUGGCCGGGCGACGGUUGUCCCGGUUUAAGCGUGUAGGUGUGUGUUCCAGGUAAAUCCGGUUCACUUUAACACUGAGGCGUGAUGACGAGGCACUACGGUGCUGAAGCAACAAAUGCCCUGCUUCCAGGAAAAGCCUCUAAGCAUCAGGUAACAUCAAAUCGUACCCCAAACCGACACAGGUGGUCAGGUAGAGAAUACCAAGGCGCUUGAGAGAACUCGGGUGAAGGAACUAGGCAAAAUGGUGCCGUAACUUCGGGAGAAGGCACGCUGACACGUAGGUGAAGUGAUUUACUCAUGGAGCUGAAGUCAGUCGAAGAUACCAGCUGGCUGCAACUGUUUAUUAAAAACACAGCACUGUGCAAACACGAAAGUGGACGUAUACGGUGUGACGCCUGCCCGGUGCCGGAAGGUUAAUUGAUGGGGUCAGCGCAAGCGAAGCUCCUGAUCGAAGCCCCGGUAAACGGCGGCCGUAACUAUAACGGUCCUAAGGUAGCGAAAUUCCUUGUCGGGUAAGUUCCGACCUGCACGAAUGGCGUAAUGAUGGCCAGGCUGUCUCCACCCGAGACUCAGUGAAAUUGAACUCGCUGUGAAGAUGCAGUGUACCCGCGGCAAGACGGAAAGACCCCGUGAACCUUUACUAUAGCUUGACACUGAACAUUGAGCCUUGAUGUGUAGGAUAGGUGGGAGGCUUUGAAGUGUGGACGCCAGUCUGCAUGGAGCCGACCUUGAAAUACCACCCUUUAAUGUUUGAUGUUCUAACGUGGACCCGUGAUCCGGGUUGCGGACAGUGUCUGGUGGGUAGUUUGACUGGGGCGGUCUCCUCCUAAAGAGUAACGGAGGAGCACGAAGGUUGGCUAAUCCUGGUCGGACAUCAGGAGGUUAGUGCAAUGGCAUAAGCCAGCUUGACUGCGAGCGUGACGGCGCGAGCAGGUGCGAAAGCAGGUCAUAGUGAUCCGGUGGUUCUGAAUGGAAGGGCCAUCGCUCAACGGAUAAAAGGUACUCCGGGGAUAACAGGCUGAUACCGCCCAAGAGUUCAUAUCGACGGCGGUGUUUGGCACCUCGAUGUCGGCUCAUCACAUCCUGGGGCUGAAGUAGGUCCCAAGGGUAUGGCUGUUCGCCAUUUAAAGUGGUACGCGAGCUGGGUUUAGAACGUCGUGAGACAGUUCGGUCCCUAUCUGCCGUGGGCGCUGGAGAACUGAGGGGGGCUGCUCCUAGUACGAGAGGACCGGAGUGGACGCAUCACUGGUGUUCGGGUUGUCAUGCCAAUGGCACUGCCCGGUAGCUAAAUGCGGAAGAGAUAAGUGCUGAAAGCAUCUAAGCACGAAACUUGCCCCGAGAUGAGUUCUCCCUGAGACUUAAAGUCUCCUGAAGGAACGUUGAAGACGACGACGUUGAUAGGCCGGGUGUGUAAGCGCAGCGAUGCGUUGAGCUAACCGGUACUAAUGAACCGUGAGGCUUAACCUUACAACGCCGAAG
rnacentral:rRNA from 1 species